GGUGCAUGUGAUGACAUUAUUUAGCGACCAAAGUCUGAUAAAGAUGACUGUGAUCCUAUUGUCUGAUGCACU
rnacentral:snoRNA from 1 species